GGGUCCAGAGUAAUGCCGGGGUCCUUCAGUAGAAGCCAAGGUUGCUCUGGAGUUCAUGAGACUGGUGUCUGUGGACCUCAAGAAGACAUGUUAUGAAGGCCUGGACAGUCAUCUUUCUAAGCUCCUUGAAUUCUACUGGGCCAAGAGUGGUGGAGGGAUGGAGCUAAAACACCUUAUAGACAUUCUUGACAAAGACAGUUCCAAUCAUAGGAAGAGGGUGCUGUGCUCCGAGGCUUGCCAGACGUCCUGCGAGAAGACCCUACCUAUUUUUGGAAGACGUGAGAAGACAACUGAUUCUGGGGAAGUCACCCACUGAGUGAAAAUCGGUAUACUUGUCGUUGUGGAAGGAGCUGCAGCAGAUGACCCAAUGCCAGCUGACAAUGUGGACGUUGCCCUUGUGAUAGAAGAGCAGGUGAUCAUACAUGAGCUUCACAAUGUCCCAAAUACCUUUGCCACUUUGAUUGGGCUUCUUUAUUGUCUGAACAAGGAUCACCAAACAUGUUUGAGGUACACUUUUGAGGUAGUUCAGAAAAUGUUCUUGAAGAUUGGUGCAGAAAACUGUACAGCAAAAGUGCAAUGGCUGAAGAACCGUCUUCUUCGUUAAAACAUCUACUUGGUGUGUUUUUGUUUUACUGGCAUUAGUUGAGUUAAUUCCUCAGACAACGAUGCUGUUAUUUGCCUAAAUCUUACAAAUCUCAGUUUUGGGAAGACUUAAGUUAUCUUAUUUUUACAUGUGAUCUUCAGUCUACAAACUACAACCGUCUUUUGUUAGAGACCAUUGAUUUGCUGCCAUCUCUUCCCAUUAACUGCAGUGCAUUCUGAAAAAUUAUAACAUGCUGUAAACAUUUUCUCACUCAACACCAACUUGUCUUAGAAACCAUUCAGAAGGUUGUCUUUGAUCAGUGUUUGAUUAUUAUUAUUUUUUACCAUGCCGUAAAACUGUGUUUCAAUGGUACCAUUUACAAAUGUGUAUGGGUUUAUUGGACAGUGGAUUCUUUUUUAUUUUUUUUGACAAAACUUUUAU